rnacentral:rRNA from 1 species
AGAGUUUGAUCCUGGCUCAGAUUGAACGCUGGCGGCAGGCUUAACACAUGCAAGUCGAGCGGUAACAGGGGUAGCUUGCUACCCGCUGACGAGCGGCGGACGGGUGAGUAAUGCUUAGGAAUCUGCCCAGUAGUGGGGGAUAGCCCGGGGAAACCCGGAUUAAUACCGCAUACGUCCUACGGGAGAAAGCAGGGGAUCUUCGGACCUUGCGCUAUUGGAUGAGCCUAAGUCGGAUUAGCUAGUUGGUGGGGUAAAGGCCUACCAAGGCGACGAUCCGUAGCUGGUCUGAGAGGAUGAUCAGCCACAUCGGGACUGAGACACGGCCCGAACUCCUACGGGAGGCAGCAGUGGGGAAUAUUGGACAAUGGGGGCAACCCUGAUCCAGCCAUGCCGCGUGUGUGAAGAAGGCUUUCGGGUUGUAAAGCACUUUCAGUAGG